CCCUUGAGGUGGAGAGCUAGCAGGGAGCAGAAAGGAAAUGGCCCCAAGUUUGUCUGGAACAUGAGCAGCCACCUCCACUUUACCUUGGUUUGAGUGCUUGCCGGUGCCAGGCUCCGGGUCCUGAGUGGCUCUUUGUUGCCUCAAAGACCAAACCCUGUCCAGUCAGACUUGCACAGCUCUCUGUCUUCAUUGGAACUGACUCAUUGGAAGAGACCCUGGUGCUGGGAAAUAUUGAAGGCAAGAGGAGAAGGGGAUGACAGAGGAUGAGAUGGUUGGAUGGCAUCACCAACUCGAUGGACAUGAGUUUGAGCAAGCUCCAGGAGUUGGUGAUGGACAGGGAGGCCUGGCAUGCUGCAGUCCACAGGGUCGCAAAGAGUCAGACACGACUGAGCAACUGAACUGAACUGUCUUAAUUUUCUCAUGCAGUCCUCAAAGCAGCUCUGGGCCGUGUCUCAUCACCCACUUCUACACGUGUCCAACUCUGCAAUUCAGGAUCAGCAAUUGCCCUGAAUCUCCCAGCUCCUGAGUAGUACUGAGAGGACUUGAACCCAGGAUUCUGAUAACAAUUCACUGGCUCUUUUUUUUUGUUUUUUCCACCAUUUAGCAUAUUCCUAGGGAGAUGCCAUUUUCUCAAAUGUUUGGGCAAUGGCAGCUUGGUUUAAGUGCGGAAUAAGUGUGUGGCCUCACAAUUAGGAGAUAAAGGAGACCACUGUGGAGAAGACCACUGUUUGAAAAAAAACAUAAAAAGGCUUUACUAUCGUGGUGAUAUGCUUACCACACCCGCUUCUAUACCCAUGGACUCACUUUUCCUGCCUCUUGUCUGCAAGUUCCUCCUCCUCCCCUGUCUCUUCUCCUCCUACUUCUCUUUUCUUCACUUUUUUUUUUUUUCAUCUUUCUCAAUGAUCCCUCUCCCUGAAAGGGAGAAAAGGCUUUCCAGAGCCCUCUGCUUAUAUAAUUUCUUCCUCCAUUAAUCUGUUGUCAAUUAGUUAAUAAUUAAUUACUAAGUGACCUACUAAUACUGGUUUGUUAGUACUCCUCUGAUGGCCUUUAUCAUAUUCUGCCUUGUUGUCAUCAUUACUUGGGGACUUGUCUUAGGGCAUCUGUUCAAUUCUCGGCUGGAUGAGAACAGUUUCUGGGUUGGUCUCACCCAGCCUGAACUUCUCGUGUGGUAUCAGAGGCUGGGCCAGAGCAAGACACUGAUUUAGCUCAAAGGUGCUGACAGCAGCCCAAUUCCCUCACCAGCAAAUGUCAAGAGGAAAUAUCUGCCAUGGAGAGGCCCCAAGAG
ensembl:lncRNA